rnacentral:rRNA from 1 species
UACGUAGGGGGCUAGCGUUGUCCGGAAUCAUUGGGCGUAAAGAGCGUGUAGGCGGCCCGGUAAGUCCGCUGUGAAAGUCGGGGGCUCAACCCUCGAAUGCCGGUGGAUACUGUCGGGCUAGAGUGCGGAAGAGGCGAGUGGAAUUCCUGGUGUAGCGGUGAAAUGCGCAGAUAUCAGGAGGAACACCGAUUGCGAAGGCAGGUCACUGGGCCGCAACUGACGCUGAGGAGCGAAAGCAUGGGGAGCGAACAGG